rnacentral:lncRNA from 1 species
CUGUGUUGUAGCCACAGCUGGAGCCUGGGUCCUCUGCACGGAGACUCUGGGUCGGCCUUGACCAGGUGUGGUCAGUGAAUUCCUGAUAGGAAGACUUGGUGAAUACAGGCUCCUUCCAAAGGUCGGGGGGUCAGGUAGCUGUAGGUCUUAGAGCUGUAAGGUCAAAGAUGGCCUUGGCGCAGUUGCCCAGGGUGGCAGUGCAGCCCCUGGCUGAGGUGUAGCAGACAUCCAUACCAGCCAUCAUGAGCAGCUUCUUGGGCACAGGCGCCGAGACGGUGCCAGUGCCCCUGGGCGUGGGGAUGAAGCCGACCAGCACAGAGCCGCAGUGGCCUGUCACCUUGCAAGGGACGGUGUGGGGCUUGCCGAUCUUGUUCCCCCAGUAGCCUCUGCGCACGGGGACAAUGGAGAGCUUGGCCAGGAUAAUGGCCCCGCGGAUGGCAGUGGCCACCUCUUUGGAGCACUUAACACGCAGACCGACGUGGCAAUUAUAGUCCCCGAUGGCAACAAAUGCCUUGAACCUGGUGCGCUGGCCGGCGCGGGUCUGCUUCUGCACCGGCAUAAUCUUCAAAACCUCGUCCUUGAGAGAGGCCCCCAGGAAAAAGCCAAUGAUCUCAGAUUCCUUGAUGGGCAGGGAGAAGAGAUAGGUCUCCUCCAGGGACUUGAUCUUCAUGUCCUUGACCAGGAGGCCCAGCUUGGUAAUGGGUGUCCACCCCUUAUCCUUGGCCUUGACUCCGCGAGCUCCGCAGCCUCGGCCCUGGCCCGGUCCACGGCCAGAUCCACGGCCGCGACCCCGGCCCGCAUGCCACUGCGGAAACCUCAGCGGAAACCACCGCAGUUCCCCAUCCCAGGGUCCCCCGGGGCUUCCGGCCCCCGCUGCACCGGCGUUAUCCGCCAUUUGGUGUUUUCUCAGAGAAGACGUAGAAGCUGUUCUUGUUCGUCAUCACUACGUAACAUCCUUUGUUUUAGAAGCUUUUCUAUGUUCCUCAUCGCUACGUAACUUCCUUUGUUUUAGAAGCUCUUCUAUGUUCCUCAUCACUAGGUAACUUCCUUUGUUUUAGAAGCUCUGCUAUGUUCCUCAUCACUAUGUAACUUGUUUGUUUUAGAAGCUGUUCUAGGUUCGUCAUCACGACGUAACAUCCUUCGUUUCCUGUUCUUAAUGGCUUUCAGAGAAAACCCGAAGUCAGAAGCACGCCGGCAUCCACUUGCGGCCGCCCUGCCUGAAUAUGACAUGGAUGGGUGUGACCAACGUAGAGUCUUCAGGAGGCUCGGUUUGGUAACUUAGGCAUAGUUAAUACAUCCACAUCAUUUUUCUAAAUUCUAUGUUCUUUCGUCUCUUUCUUCACAUUUAUUCAUCUAAAAAUGGAGGGAGAGGUUCAAAAUUUUUUUAAAAAACACACAAGAAUAGUGAGCCUUCUUCAUUUGGAAUUCAUCCCAGUGUUAAAUGAAAGAAUAUUGUGCAAAUUUCCAGGAAAAUGUCAAUGAUGACUGGCUAAAUUGGAACAAAUAUCGAAAGACUCCAAAAUGUUUACAUCCCAGCUGGAGGCAAGUGUUUCAUUCCCAGUCAGGGACGGGACAAAGUGAGACUGCAGCAGCGGAACAGGCGCAGCCGGGGUUCCAGCCCUCAGCAUCACCACGGUGCAUUUGUCCCUGAGGACACCAGGAGUUGUGACAAAUCCUGUUCCUUUGCUUUUAGAGGUUUUGUUGUAGAAGCCAUCCCCAUUUUGACCACUCCAAUAAUACUGUAAGCAGAGUUCAAAAGCUGAAGCGGGUACACUGUGCCUCCAGGUUAUGUUUGUGGAUGAUACCCUAUCAGGGUCUGAAUGUCGUCUGACAGUUGCAUCAUUUCCCUGGAAGAACACGUGUAGACAGGCCAGCCAGUGGCCCUCCCUGUACAGCAGUGGCUGUGGCAGUCAGUGUUGAGUGUGGAACUAGGACUGUGUGAUCACCUCCCGGUACUUCCCUUUCCUUAUCUUUUUUUUUUUUUUUUUUUUUUUUUUUUUUUUUUAGACAGUCUCGCUCUGUCGCCCAGGCUGGAGUGCAGUGGUGUGAUCUCGGCUCACUGCAACCUCCACCUCCCGGGUUCAGGCGAUUCUCCUGCCCAGCCUCCUGAGUAGCUGGGAUUACAGGCACCCGCCACCAUACCUGGUUAAUUUUGUUUUGUGUUUUUAAUAGAGACGGGGUUUCACCACGUUGGCCAGGCUGGUCUCAAACUCCUGAUGUCAGGUGAUCCGCCCGCCUCGGCCUCCCAAAGUGCUGGGAUUACAGGCGUGAGCCACUGCGCUGGGCCUAAUUUUUUGUAUUUUUAGUAGAGACAGGGUUUCGCCAUGUUGGCCAGGCUGGUCCUUAUCUUAACAUAAAGAAUGAUAAGGACUUCCUCACAGACUGUUGAGAGAAUUAAAUAAGUCAACACACAUAUAGUACUUAGAGGAGUGUGCAGUAAAUAUUAGUUUAAUGAUGUGAAUACACACACAGGCAUACUUGAUAAAGCCUAGUGAAUAUUUGAUCUGUCAGUAACAAAAUAUUCAAAAGACAGCAAUGAAGAUCAGCAGUUUCUUUUAUAAUUCAGGAACUAGAUAGCCACAAGCAAUACAGUUUCACUUUGACUUUCAGACACCACUGAAACACCUGUGCUAGUAUUCAGGCUAAAGCUCUUGAAGAGGGUAAAAUAUUUUCUCCAUCUACCUACCUCUGGCCACAAGCACUUAUGUGAAUUGGAACUCAGGAAAUGGUCAAAAUCGAUGUACUCACCCCUAUUUAUAUGAGUGUUGAUUUAAAUAAAUUAUUGAGAUAAUUUAACGCAUUGAUUGUUCAGAUUAGAAUUAAACAGAGUGACCUUUGAAAAUUUCAUCUCAUGAUUACUCUUCAUGGUACCUACCAUCAACUCUUUUCUUAACCAUUGCUCAAUACUUAAUCCGCACUCCUAGUCCUACCUUCUAGCUUGAAGUUAUCAUUAAACUAAAUAACAGCCUUUAAAUGAAAAGCAGGAUGAUACAGUCUCAUUAUCUAAAUACAUAAAUCAUUUGGUUUUAAUGCCACCAAAAUCCAUCACCACAGUAGCAGUGCCUUUCCCUUGUAACAUGGACAUUGUUUCUAGGUACUUGUUCUUCUAAGUCAGAAAUGCUCUUCCAUUAUUACAUACUUCAUCUGUGACAACCAUUUCUGAAUUCAGGUUUUGUUUGUUUGUUUGUUUUUUGGAGACAAGGUCUUGCUCUGUCACCCAGGCUGGAGUGCAAUGGUAUGAUCUCAGCUCACUGCAGCCUGGACCUCCUGGGCUCA